rnacentral:rRNA from 1 species
GACGAACGCUGGCGGCGUGCUUAACACAUGCAAGUCGAACGCAGUGGCGAACGGGUGAGUAACGCGUAAUCAACCUGCUCUUCUGAGGGGGAUAACAGUUGGACACGACUGCUAAUACCGCAUACUGAAGGUGGGCAUUGCGUCUGUUUCGCGAGUUGGAGGGGUAACGGCCCACCAAGGCGAUGAUCAGUAGCCGGGCUGAGAGGAGGAACGGCCACAAUGGGACUGAGGCACGGCCCAGACUCCUACGGGAGGCAGCAAGGGGGAAUCUUCCGCAAUGGACGAAAGUCUGACGGAGCAACGCCGCGUGAGUGAUGACGGCCUUCGGGUUGUAAAGCUCUGUUAAUCGGGACGCGGUACCGGAAUAGAAAGCCACGGCUAACUACGUGCCAGCAGCCGCGGUAAUUC